GUCUGAUAAGGGCAAACCAUCCGAAAGGGUGGGACGCAAAGCCGACGGCCUAAAUUUUGCCCGCCUCGCACAGCAAAGCGGGUGGGACAUGGCGGCAGGGUUGCCGGA
rnacentral:ncRNA from 1 species